rnacentral:rRNA from 1 species
GACGAACGCUGGCGGCGUGCUUAACACAUGCAAGUCGAACGAUGAACUUGGAGCUUGCUCUGGGGGAUUAGUGGCGAACGGGUGAGUAACACGUGAGUAACCUGACCUGGACUCUGGGAUAACUUCGAGAAAUCGGAGCUAAUACUUGAUAGGACCAUGCCCCGCACGGGGUGGGGUGGAAAGUUUUUCGGUUUGGGAUGGCCGCGCGGCCUAUCAGCGUGUUGGCGGGGUAAUGGGUCACCAAGGCGUCGACGGGUCGCCGGCCUGAGAGGGUGACCGGCCACACUGGGACUGAGACACGGCCCAGACUCCAACUGGAGGCAGCAGUGGGGAAUAUUGCACAAUGGGCGCAAGCGUGAUGCAGCAACGCCGCGUGAGGGAUGACGGCCUUCGGGUUGUAAACCGCUUUUAGUAGGGAAGAAGCCUUCGGGUGACGGUACCUGCAGAAAAAGGACCGGCUAACUACGUGCCAGCCGCCGCUGUAACAC